UCUUGCUCUCUCCCUCGGCUCGAAGUGCACGCCGCCAUGGCCGAGAUCUCCGAAGAAGCCCAGGAGCAGCAGUACACCUCUUUCUCCUCCUCCUCUUCCUCUCCAAUCGCCGCCCCGGAGGUCGAUCCCGACGAGGAGUCUUUGGCCUCGGUUCUCGCCAAGAAGAGCCCGAUGCCCUUCCUCGAGGCUGCCAACGCCGAGAAGUGGGUCAAGGAUGCGGCCCAGAGGACAUAGUCGGACGCGCCGCCCAACGAUCUAAGUCAUCAGACAAGGCGGCGACCAAGGCCGAGCAGAAGCCAAACUCUGAAAAUGGUCUCGACUUAUUAUAAUUUAUAAGUAUUCAUGGACUUGGACACUUCAAGAUGUUACCAUCAGCAUUCCUGUUCCUCAGGGAACAUAAUCAAGGUUUGUUGCUCGUGAGAUAAAGAAGACCCAUUUGAAAGUUGGGUUAAAGGGACAACCUCCAUUUAUCUCUAGGUGAAAGCACCUUCCUCUUAUACUUGCACAUGUUUCUUCUGUAAUUCUUCCAGGGAGAUCUUUAUCGACCAGUGAAGACAGAAGAUUGCUUCUGGAGCAUAGGGUGGACAAUACAUUUCUAUACUUUUGACCAAGCAAAAUCAGAUGGAAUGGUGGAAGUGUGUGGUAAAGGGUGACCCUGAAAUUGAUACACUAAAAAGUAGAACCUGAAUAUAGCAAUAUCUGAUCUGGAUCGUGAAACUUGGCAGAUUUUACAGAAAAUGAUGUUUGAGCAGUGGCAGAAAGCUAUGGGUCUUCCAACAAGUGACGAUAUGUAGAAGCAAGAAAUUCUGAAAAAGAUAGCACCCAUAAAUUGACUUUUCAAGAGCAAAAAGAGCCCUGUUGGAGGAUUUCGAAGAGGUGUUUUGCGCAGCAAGUGUUAUCUGGUCUUAAGACUAGAUUGAUUUGUACCUGAGGGGAGAUGUUAAAGAAUAUGAACUUUUCUAGCAGCUUAAACAUGUGAAGGCUCCGUGGUUGGAGUCUUUCUGCCUUAUUACAAGUGUUUAGCCGAAAACCAAUUGCAGGUGUCGGCAUAAGAAAGGUCUGCGGAAUGGACCCAAGGCUCGAAAAACUGUUCCAGCGAUUGUCCAUUGCAAGUAAGAUUUCUUUCUCUAUGUUGUAGGUCUGUUUUGGCAAAUCUCGCCAUUAAAUUUUUGUUGCAACUUGCAACUUUGUGAUUGAUAGAAUUUACUGGAAUAACAUUUACCCAUAAAUUAUGCACCUUUUUUAUGUGUGGAGGACAUUCAUGUUUACAAUUUUGGAUUAUUCCAGCUAAUUUUCACCAGCAUUCCAACUUAUAACUCCUCUAUUUAUUCUGUUUGAUGUUAGAAUUAAAAGAUAGUAGUCCAUCAUGAAGCGGUUUAAAAUUGACCAAAUUAUCAAUAUUGUUGCAAUACGCCAGGCCUGUAGUUAAAGAAGUGAAAGCAUGCAAUGGCUAAGAUAAAUUUCAAUUCCACGUUAAAAGUUCAUCAACUGUAUAAAAUCUUCCAUCCUAUUAUUCACAAAGAGUCUAUUUUAAAUGAAUGUCUUUUCAAUGGAUUGUAAAAUGAGCUACAUAAUCAUGGCAAAUAGUUUGGUGACCAGUUUCCUCUUCCAGAAAAAAAAAAAGAUGUACAAAACAACUAGAAUAACUGGUCACAAUUGGAGUCAGUUAUCAUUGUGAGAAAUGAGUGGGAAGACUGUUUGAUUGCCUGGGUUAUCUAGCAACAACAAGCCAGUAAGAUAGUAUGUGCUACUGCUGUACACUGUAUCACCUCUUCGCUUAGAUUUAGAAUGUUUACUAAAAUGCAGGACGAAUAGAGUUUUUCCAAUUCUGCUGAAUGCUAAGUAUCACAAAGUUAGUAGCUGAAGGAUGACAACAUUGUUAACAGAUUGGAUCUAAAAUAUCUUUUUUAUUCUACAACGACCAAGCACUAAACCCCAGAACAGUAUAUUCUUUUUUCUUGAGAUUAAAACUUAUGAUUGUGCUUCAAACAGAAGCCGUUGUAUGUGACAAGUUGAUGCUUGUUUACAUUUGAUGUUCUACUUGUUCACAUUUAAUGUUCUACUUUUUUUUAAAAAAAAAGCAACAUGUAAUGUUCAAUUGAUAAUUGAAGAGUUUAAGCAGUUUGAGAAUUAUUCAAACCGUUUUUAUUCUUAUUGUUUAGGAACAUCGAUAAUUUCCCCGUCAGAUGUCUAACUAGCCUCUUCUCUCGAUGUUUUGGUUAUGACACUUUGUACUGCUUUGUGUUUUUUUAGCAUGGAUAUAGCAUGCACUAGUCAUUUCUUGUUUGUUUGUUAGUGUUGCUCACUCAUGUAUCGAAGAUUGGUGCUAAUAAAAUCAAUCCAUCCUCUAGGAACUUCUUUUUCCUGAAGGGAAAAAUGAUCUAUGCAGGGUAACUUUGUUUUCUGGUUUCAAUACUACAAUAGCAAAAACAGUGAUUGUUGGGAGUUUUGACUUAUUUUAGACAUGAUUAUAUAGAUAGAUAUGAUGAAAUAUGAAUCCAUAUAUGUACAUGAUUACUGCCAAGCCUGUAAGAUAUGAUGCAUGCUGAUUGCCUGUGUAGUGUAUGCUCAGGAUCUGGAUACAUUUGGUGGUCCAUGAUACUUUUGAACUCAACUUUCCAAAGUGAAAAAAAAAGGUAUAUCAUCAAGAAAUUGUUACGGGAGAUAUACACUGAGCCCUUGGAAAGAGUUCCAUUUAUAAAUCCCCACCCCCCGGGAUUUCACAAUUUGCUCUUUAACACUGUUUUAGUUAUUAAAAGGAGGAACUGACUUUCAAAAGUUAGAAAAGCAGAAGCUAUCUUAUGUCUACCUUGUAUCUGAUCAUUGCUGGAUAAUGUCUUAUCUUGUUUAAAUCUUUGCUGCAUAGGGCUCAGAACAUGUCAGUCGUUUGUUUUUUUGUUUGCUUCUGCUGACACCUGGUUCUGAAUGAGAAAAUCGUCACUUUAUAUAACCUUGCAGGAGUUGUGGUUGCGUUAAGUUGCCACACUACUGCUGCAGUGGUGACAGUGGUGCUUCAAGCUCAUGAAAGAAAUUCAUACUAGUGAUAACACUAAUCUUGCUAAAGGAUGAUCUUCUUGUAUUUGUUUUCUUUGCUGCUGGUUUUAUUUUAUCAGCUGCAGCAUUGCAGCUGUUGUCCUAUCUAGAUAUGGGAUUUCAUCGGGUUCUAGUUUGUGAAACAACCUUGAAAUCAUCUUUUCAUGCUUCCAAGGAAUGUAAUGCUGUAUUUUCAGAUGCAUACGGUACAAAUUUCAAUUUUUACAUGUGAUUAAAGUUCUUGCUGCUUGUCAAAUGACACCCAUGUGUCCUGGAGGCACUUAUCUAUAUCCCAAAUUACAUGGAAAUGGCUCGAUGAACUUAGCUCUGAGCUAUUUCAUGAUAUUUGAGGUGGAAUCAAGGGCAGAGUGAAUUGAAGCAAUGAAUUACAACUUCCUAAGUGGAACCACCAACCUUCUGGUUAAAGACAGAUGCAGUUCGGAGGUACACAGCCUUUUUAUCAUCCCUCACAUAAUGAGAUAUGAUUUUGUCAAUGAACCGCUCUGUUAUUCCUUUUCAUUGUUAUUCAUUUUCAGUGCAUUUCUAAGUGUGAGUCAUCUUGGAAUAGAUCAACUUCAGUUUAUAGAUCACUAAGCAUAUCGUUCUCACCUGAGCUCAGUGACUAAAGAUUAUAGAUCAUAACAAGGAUCCGUGCUUCAUUUUUGAGUUGUUUAUUGUGUGCAACAUCCUAUAAAGGUGACAUAGCUAUCCAGAACACACAAAAUUUCUUUGGUUUAUCUUCAAAACAAGCAGCAAAUUCCUCUUCCAGGUUGGGCACAGAGCAUCAAACAACAGACUGAUGCCACUGUUUUUGAAAGAGAUGUUUUCAGGUGCAAGUUUUUUUUAUACCGAGUAUCAAGUUGUGGGUUGCCUCUUGUCACUUCUCAAAUGCACUACUUCAUUCUUUAAUAUAUAUCUUGUGUUUUCUUAUUGAGAGUAAAAAAAAGAUCAGGUGGACUUGUUGAUGGAUGAACGUAAGGGCAUGAAGACAACAGCUGGUUUUUAAGUAUAUGUGAUGAUCCAACCUACCCAGAUAUGCCACAAAGAUAUGGCCAACGGCUCUUGGUGAUUAGAGUUGGAUGUUGUCUUCAUCAGAAGCCAGACAUAGAGAAUCUAUCCAAAGUAUGGACGCACGGUUUUGUCACCAAACAAAGCCUAUUGGGAAACUGGAUAUGAAGCUUACUCGGUGAUUUCACGUGCAAGAUUGUCAUGUUAGAUUGCACUGUCAGAGAAAAUGUGUUAAUUGCAAUUAUUUUAGACUUGUCAGUGUUAUACUGAUAGAAAAUGUGGGCUGCGAUGACUCCGGGAAGAAAAGUGUUAUAAGAGAUUCCAAGUGUGUUUGAAUCUGUUAAAACUAGGGCAAGUACGCCAGUGUUGUUUUUGUUUUCUCAUUUACAUAAAAAGAAAAUGCAACAAGAUAAAAGUAAGC